AGUAAGUGGAUCACACUCCUAGAGAUAUCUACAAAAUACAUGGCCAUAUAUUUUGUAGAUAUCUCUUGGAGUGUGAUCCACCUACU